GUGAACCAGCACUUUAUUCAUCGUUGCAUAAUUAUUUCAAAAGAAAAAGUUACGUGAUACAUUUUAAAUUUUACAUUCUACGAAAAUUUUAUAUUCUGGAAAAAAAACUGAUUUGAAAUUACAAAUAUUUUGUGUUACACAUAAUCUUCACAGUAAAAAAAAUUGUAAUGCAACUGCAUGUAAGAAGACUGGGUGUAAAAGGAAUUUUGAUUUUUUUUAUGAAAUUUUAUGUAAUAUUACACCCUGAAACAUGUAGCCCAUCAGUAUGGGAAACCAAAUCGACCGGAAUAUCAUGCUCAUAUAUGCGUUUUUCCCUUCCAUUCUUCAUCGGUCUGAUGGCCGAGCGGCUAAGGCACCAGUUCUUACUGUGCUGAGUUAGAAAAAUGUGUUUACAACAAUUAUACAUGCAGUGUGUAAUAUUGAGGGUCUUUUUUCACAAUGAUAAUGUGAAUGCGAUUUUACCAUCAGAUUUUUAUUUGCAUUGUAAAAAACUGCAAUAUUUCGUCAGAAGCUGCACAGCAAAAAAUCACAUGCAAAAAAGACAUUUAAUAUUAUAACACACUGCAUGUACAAUUUUAGUAAACCCAAAAAAAGUUGCAACCGACGCGAUUCAAACCAACAGUAAGGACUGGCGCCUUAGGCCGCUCGGCCAUCAGACCGAUGUAGAAAGGAAACGAUAAACGCAUAUAUCAGCUUGACUUUUCGGUCAAGUAGGUUUCCCAUACUGAAGGGUUACAUAUUUCAGGGAGUAAUAUUACAUAGAAUUCCAAAAAAUAUUGCAAAAUUCAUUUAACACCAAGGCCUUUUACACGCAGUUGAAUUACAACUUUAUUUGCUGUGUGGGUAAAAUGGCAAAGUGAGUCAACAUUUCUUUUCUUUUUUUAUGUUAUUUAAUUUUUUUACACAGUAAUUCAUGCAAAGUUACACAACGAAAGAUUUUACCUAUUUUUUGUCUGAAAAAGUGCGUAAUUUCCCAUCAAAAGUUGAGUGCAAUUGAAUAAGUGAGUGAGUGAAAAUUAUCGUCUUUUUGGAAAGGUAAAACAUUAUGGGAAUGGGGACAGAUUUUGUGUCAAAUAAAACGUGUAAUUUUACAUCAAAAACUGGUGAAAAUUUAAUCAUUAGACAUUUGACAUUUUUCAACCUACGAAAAUUCAACUUGUUUGCAUUGUACAAAUCAGAAACUGGUAUAAUGCUAUUUAAUUUUGGUGAAUUUACAUUUUACAUCAUCCAUUUUCAGCUUCUGGACUUCUGGAACAAACUUUUUCUAUGUUGUUAUAAUUAAGGUAAUAUUACAUGUAGCAGUGGUGAUACAUUUUCUGUCAACUUAAUAUUAUUAGUUUCAAAUUAGUAAUUUGUGAAAUUUUCGUCAACUUCUUUUGAAUUUCAAAUUGUUAUUUUAGGUAAAAUUACUCAAAAAAAAAACGUUACUUAAUCCACCUGUAGGUGGUUGGUGCCUUCCUCACAUAGUAAUGUAAUCAAAAAUAAAAAUAAUUCACUCAAAUCAGACAAUUUUCCCGUUUACUCAUUUCUGAGUAUUGCCGCUUUAGCUCUUAUUUUUGACGUGGUAAAAAAGUGUACUUUUGAUUCUCAGUGUAAAAGUUACGAUCCACAACUUUUCUGUAGGAACGGGCGGAAAGAGAACGGUUUCAAAUUAUGAUCCACUCUGUUUACUGUUUUGCUGUCAAAAAGGAUUCAUCAAAAACAACUCAAAUUUUAUUUUCCAGCUUAUUUGAAUCGAACUUGCGCCAACUUGUGCUACCCGUCCUUUGGAAUUGCAAAAUUCAAGAAUUUCUUCGGACAUCCAACAACCUGAACAACGAGAGGGGUUUCGAGCAAUGACCAACGCGUACUCUAGCUCGGACAUGAUUCCUUCGGUGUACGCCGAAAACGUUGACUUCAGGUACACCUGACCAUCUGCUACAGGAAGACGACUCCCGUUGUGUAAGACUCGGAGAUGAAGUACCGUUUUGUUGAUCACCAUCUCAAUAAGCAUCCUGCAUGCGAUUCCGGGAACCUUCGACACCAAACCUUCGAGCACUAAAAGGCACAGCUGAAGCGUAUUGUAGACCUAGCCGUGGGCUCCGUCGGCGGCCAAUCACAGCGGCGAUGUUUCAUCUCGAUUUGGCCGGUUCAAGAUUGUCGUCAAUGUGUGGGAAAUGGAGCAAUAAAAAUAAUUGUUCUUAACUAGAGACCCGGCAGAGUCUUAACUGUAUCGUGGAAUGUGCAAACAAAUAAAUGUGAAUAGUUCUUAUUUGAUUUUCAUUUUUUAAAUCCUUUUUGGAAGUAUUCGAUUGCGUUUUUUUUUUAUUUUUAGGUGGAAAAAAUCUUGAGAAUUGGCUUUUUCCAUGAGUUACUAGAACAAACAAGAUCCAGACAUGAUGGAAUCGGACAAUUUUGUAUCAAAAUACAACUUAAAUGUUUAUAUCUUUUGAUAGGCUUGCCAAAUUUUCAAUCUUUAUGGUUUAGUAGAAAGGUCUUACGAUUAUGCGUCCAAUGAUAGCUCGCAUGACCUAUCUGCACGCAGAAAAAUAAGCCAUAUUUGAAUCAACAAAACUUUUUGUUGAUUCGAAAAUCAUGAUUUUUGUUGACUCAACGCUAAACGUCAAAGCAGCUUUUUCAAAACAACAAAAGAAUUUUGUUGAAUUGAGAAAAUCAAGGUUUGUUUCAACGCAAAAUCGGCGUUGAUUAUAUUCAACAAAAAUUUUGUUGAUUCAAACCUCGUACAGGCUGAUUCUACAAAACAUUUUUCUGCGUGUGGGUAACAUUUUCGUCAAAAUAUAUGAUAUUCGGACUAAAAACAAUGUGUAGUUAACAUUUAAAUGCUCAUAACUUUUAAUAGGGUUGUCAGAUCUUUGAUCCUUUUGGCUCAUUAGAAAGGUCUUUUGAAUAUCCAUCCAAUGAUAGCUUGCAUGGACUAGCAGUCAUUUUCGUCAAAAUAUGUGAGAUGCGGCAAUAAAAAAAAGUUUAAUAAACAUUUAAAUGCUCAUAACUUUUGAUAUGGUUGACAGAUCUUCAAUCUUUUGGGCUCGUUGGAAAGGUCUAUUGAUUACCUAUCCAACGAUGGGUAGCAUGAUAGAUCCGGACAACUUUUUCAUCAAAAUAUUUGAGAUCCGGCCUCUGAAAUGUGUACAAAUGACACUUAAGUGCUCAUAACUUUUGAUAGGGUUAUCAGAUCUUCAAUGUUUUGGGCUCAUUAGAAAGGUCUUUCAAUUAUCCAACUAGCAACGAGUCGCAUAAUGGACCCGGCUAACAUGUUCAUCGAAAUAUUUGAAAUCCGGCCCCUGAAAUGUGUUCAAAUGACACUUAAUUGCUCAUAACUUUUGAUAGGGUUAUCAGAUCUUCAAUGUUUUGGGCUUGUUGGAAAGGUCUUUUGAUUACCUAUCCAACGAUGGGUAGCAUGAUAGAUCCGGACAACUUUUUCAUCAAAAUAUUUGAGAUCCGGCCUCUGAAAUGUGUACAAAUGACACUUAAUUGCUCAUAACUUUUGAUAGGGUUAUCAGAUCUUUAAUGUUUUGGGCUCAUUAGAAAGGUCUUUGAAAUACCUUUCUAAAAAUGUAUGAUCAGACGGGUUUUCUUACAAAAACCACCCUUUUUACAAUCUUUCAAACUUUAGCCAGAAUCGUUUUUUUAGCAUAACUUUUGAAAUACUUAACAAAACUUCAUAAUAGUUAAUAUAGGUCUUGUGGGACCCUAAGACGGAUCGAAUGAGACCAGAACGACCCAAAUCGGUUCAGCCAGUCCGGAGAUAAUCGAGUGCAUUUUUUUUCGGUGCACGGACUUACAGACAUACACACGCACAGACAUUUGCUCAGAAUUUGAUUCUGAGUCGAAAGGUAUACGUGAAGGUAGGUCUACGAGGUCGAAUUAAGAAGUUCAUUUUUCGAGUGAUUUUAUAGCCUUUCCUCAGUAAGGUGAGGAAGGCAAAAGAGGUAAUAUUUAACUAACCUGAUUUGUCUUGUAAAAUUCACCAUCAAAGUGUAAACAUUCAAGAUUUAGGGUAUUUUCAUCUGUGUAUUAUUUUAGCAAAAAAACAUUUUCGAAGCUCGCUUUAAAAACAAAAUCAAAAGCUUUGCAUCAAGACGAAAAAAAAGCUAGCCCGAAUCCAAUUUGAAACGAAACAAAAAAAAACUCAACUUCCGUUUGCUUAGGAUGUUCCGGCGACUACGCCCCGUUUCGUCGCGAAGCUUCGUCUAAUUAAUUUAUGUGCCACUUUUUUUUCGAGCAGUAGCUUUGCAAGGAGAAAGAAAAUUAAGCAAAAGGCUAAAUUUAAUUAGACAAUUACCUAACAUUCACUGUUGUUUUAGGAUCGGAAAGCACGCUUCGCUUUCAGGGAUGUUUGAAUUUUAAAGGUGUGAGGUUAGAUAUGAUGAAAAAUGGGUUGAGGUAGCUUUAAUUUGUUGCAAUUUUAGCAUCCAUUUAGGUACAGCGAUAAAAAAGAAGCUUACAUGAUGAGUUCUAAUGACCUAAUCGGAUCACAUUUAUUCUGUUCAUUGAUUCUGUUCUAGCUGCAUUCAAUGUGUGGUAUUGAAUAGCUACAAUAUAAGCUUCUGAUUUUUCACAUUGAACAAACGUUCGAGGUGUGAGGCUGUUUUUUUCGACCUAUUGAUUCAAUCAAUUGUGAAGUUGUUUUUUGUUAUAUUUUCAAAAGUUCAAGAUUUUGCUUUAAAGAUUUUUCUUGACCGAAAAUAGGUAUGUUGCCCUCAGGUUGCAAUCAAUGAGUUUCGUCGAGGGGGGAAAGGAGUUGACUUUAACACUUCUCUCGUUCACCUCUUCAUCGCAGGGAUCAUUGCAUCCGCAGCAGGGUGGCUCCUCAGGGGUUUCCCGAAUGGUGUUAAACCGCAAACACACGUGUGGUGUGGAGAUAUGAAUAAUGAACGAGAUUCUGCGGUGGGAUUGUGCUUUACCUGGGUGAGUGCGAGUGUGUGUGAUUGUGUAUAUGAUCUUGUGUGACUCUGUGUGACUUUGUGAAAGACCAGAAAAUCAAUCUAUUUUGCUUCUGGCUAUCCGAAGUUCUCAACAAAGAUUCAAAUAGGUGUACAAUAAUGUGCGAGAAAGCCUAACAAAAAAUAACAAUGUUCCAAAAUCUCGCACCAAUUGAACUCAAUCACCUCAUAAAUCAAACCACUCGCAAGCAAUUAUUUCUCGCUCUGGACUUUCACCCCGGCGCCGACCAUUAGUCAUUGCUUGUCAGAACGCGAUUUUCUUUUUGUGCGAUGCUAUUUUUUAUAUCAUUUCCUCUCCAACCCUCCCACUCACAGCAUCCCCCCCAAAGUCUGGUCUAAUUUUCCGGCAAACAAGAUGAACAUUUUUCCACUUCCGCCGGCACUUUCCUUCAAGCUCGCUCUCUCUCUCUCUGCUUCUGGAUGAACUUUCGACUUUACGACUACGACUAGCUCUGGAACACGUUCGACAUGCAAUCACGUUUCUUCAUCACGUCCUCUGGCCACCCCCGCCCCCCUUUGGAGAAAAACAUGACCCACCACGUCCAGUCCGGUCCAGACUUUGGCAAGAGCUGAUCAUUGCCAAUCAUGCCCCAGCUGCUGCCGUGCUGGUUCUGUGGGGGAGGUGGAAACGUGCGGAAGGCAACAACAAGGUCACGGAAAAUAAUGUGCACAACUUUUUCAAUAAAAGUUUGGCUCCUUGUUUCGGUAUUAUUAGAAAGUGGGCGGGGGGCUCAAUUUGCGAGCAACGCGACGGUUGAUGUUUUAGCUCGAAAAACUGACUGCGAAAGCUGAACUCGGAAGAGCUUUAACGCGCGUAAAGUGUGCCAACUGCGAUAGCAGUUUGACAGCAAACUUUUGGGAAGCUUGCUUUAAAGUUUGAACGAUUGAUUUCUGGGGGUUUUCUCCGUGUGCAUCUCGAAAAACUGGGCCGGAAAAAUCAUUCUGACAAGAACUUUGUCACCGUCUUGGCCAACAAAGCAGUGUCAUUCCUUUUGCUGAGCCCGUUUCUAGAGAUCGUUUGGGAUUAUUUUCCUCUUCCUCUUUGUGUGAGUGUAUGUGUGUGUGCUCGGAAAAAGUUGAAGAAGAAAGAACACCUUCCACAGGCCGACUUGUACGGGACGUGAUGCCGAGCUUUUUCUGUUUUCUCGACGUUAUCUUUCUAAAAAGUUGAAGGUAUUGAAUUGGUGAUUCUUCUUUGAACAAAAAAGCUCAAGCAGAAUCGAUUUCAUUCAAGAAGGAUUCAAAAUUUCACAAUGUGACUUCGAAUAUCCUUCUAACCAAGUCACACGUUGAAACACUGUUCCACAUUUUGGUCUGGGCAGAUCGUACGAUACCCCGAGUAUGUUUGCUCAGGAAAACACUCAGCCAAGGGUCGUUUUUAUUGGAGUGAUGAAGCGAGUGUUCUGAUAAAUAAUUCAUACUGAUCAUAAUGGAUUUAUCGA